rnacentral:lncRNA from 1 species
AUGGCUCUGGGCAGACAUCUCUUCCUGGGGGGACUCUGUGUCCUCCUCCUCAGCACCAUGGUGGGUGGUCAAGCUCUGGAGCUGAGGCUGAAGGAUGGAGCCCACCGCUGUGAGGGGAGAGUGGAAGCGAAGUACAAAGGGGAAUGGGGCACAGUGUAUGCUGAGUACUGGCUCCUAGCAGGUGUAGAAGAGGUGUGCAGACAACUGGAAUGUGGAGUUGCCAUUGAUGCUCCCAGAGGGUCUUAUUUUGGACCAAGACUUGGCCCCAUUUGGUUUUUAUAUAUUUCCUGCGAGAGUAGAGAGGAUGAAUCAACUUUGACUCUCUAUGAGUGUGUUCAUGUUCAUUUUAAAAACUAUAAUGACACCUUCUCUCAUGACCAGGAUAUUGGAGCAGUCUGCUCAGGAUCUGUGCGUCUGUUUGGAGGGGAUAGACCCUGCUCAGGGCAUGUAGAAGUACAUUCUGGAAAAGAAUGGAUCCCAGUGUCUGAUGGGAAUUUCACACUCCCCACUGCCCAGGUCAUCUGUGCAGAGCUGGGAUGCGGCAAGGCUGUGUCUGUCCUGAAACACAUGCCCUUCAGAGAGUCUGAUGGCCAGGUCUGGGCUGAAGAGUUCAGGUGUGAAGGGGAGGAGCCUGAGCUCUGGGUCUGCCCCAGAGUGCCCUGUCCAGGGGGCAUGUGUCACCACAGUGGAGCUGUUCAGGUUGCCUGUUCAGGAAACCAGACCCAGGUGCUGCCCCAGUGCAGUGACUCCCUCCCUGAACCAACAGGCUCUGCAGCCUCAGGGGAGAGCGCCCCCUACUGCUCAGACAGCAGACGGCUCCGCCUGGUGGACGGGGGCGGUCACUGCGCCGGGAGAGUGGAGAUUCUUGACCAGGGCUCCUGGGGCACCAUCUGUGAUGACGGCUGGGACCUGGAAGAUGCCCACGUGGUGUGCAGGCAGCUGGGCUGUGGAGAAGCCCUCAAUGCCACGAGGUCUGCUCACUUCGGGGCAGGAUCAGGGCCCAUCUGGCUGGAUGACCUAAACUGCACAGGAAAGGAGUCCCACGUGUGGAGGUGCCCUUCCCGGGGCUGGGGGCGGCACGACUGCAGACACAAGCAGGACGCGGGGGUCAUCUGCUCAGAGUUCCUGGCCCUCAGGAUGGUGAGUGAGGACCAGCAGUGUGCUGGGUGGCUGGAAGUUUUCUACAACGGGACCUGGGGCAGUGUCUGCCGCAACCCCAUGGAAUAUAUCACCGUGUCCCUGAUCUGCAGACAGCUUGGCUGUGGGGACAGUGGAAGUCUCAACCCUUCUGUUGCUCUUAGAGAAGGUUCUAGACCCCAGUGGGUGGAUGGAAUCCGCUGUCGGAAAACAGACACCUCUCUCUGGCAGUGUCCUUCUGACCCUUGGAAUUACACUUCCUGCUCUCCCAAGGAGGAAGCCUAUAUCUCGUGUGAAGACAGCAGACAGCUCCGCCUGGUGGAUGGAGGAGGUCCCUGCGCCGGGAGAGUGGAGAUCCUUGACCAGGGCUCCUGGGGCACCAUCUGUGAUAACGGCUGGGACUUGGAUGAUGCCCGCGUGGUGUGCAGGCAGCUGGGCUGUGGAGACGCCCUCAAUGCCACGGGGUCUGCUCACUUUGGGUCAGGAUCAGGGCCUAUCUGGCUGGACACACUGGACUGCAGAGGAAAGGAAUCCCACGUGUGGAAGUGCCCUUCCCGGGGCUGGGGAGCGCACAACUGCAGUCAUAACGAUGCCGGAGUCAUCUGCUCAGGAUUUGUGCGUCUGGUUGGAGACAACGGACCCUGCUCAGGACGGGUAGAAGUACGUCCUGGAGAAGAAUGGACCCCAGUGUCUGACGGGAACUUCACACUCCCCACUGCCCAGGUCAUCUGUGCAGAGCUGGGGUGCGGCAAGGCUGUGUCUGUUCUGGGACACGAGCUCUUCAGAGAGUCUGAUGGCCGGGUCUGGGCUGAAGAGUUCAGGUGUGAGGGGGAGGAACGUAAGCUCUGGUGGUGCCCCAGAGUGCCCUGUCCAGGGGGCACUUGUCACCACAGUGGAGCUGCUCAGGUUAUUUGUUCAGUGUACUCAGAAGUCCGACUCAUGACGAAUGGCUCCUCUCAGUGUGAAGGGCAGGUGGAGAUAAACAUUUCUGGACGAUGGAGAGCGCUCUGUGCCUCCCACUGGAGUCUGGCCAAUGCCAAUGUCGUCUGUCGUCAGCUCAGCUGUGGAGUCGCCAUCUCUACCCCCAGAGGACCAUACUUGGUGGAGAGAGGUGACCAGAUAUCAACAGUCCGAUUUCACUGCUCGGGGGCAGAGUCCUUCCUGUGGAGUUGCCCUGUGACUGCUUUGGGUGGUCCUGACUGUUCCCAUGGCAACACAGCCUCUGUGAUCUGCUCAGGAAACCAGACCCAGGUGCUGCCCCAGUGCAACGACUCCGUGUCUGAACCAGCAGGCUCUGCGGCCUCAGAGGAGAGCGCCCCCUACUGCUUAGACAGCAGGCGGCUCCGCCUGGUGGAUGGAGGAGGUCUCUGUGCCGGGAGAGUGGAGAUCCUUGACCAGGGCUCCUGGGGCACCAUCUGUGAUGACGGCUGGGACCUGGACGAUGCCCGCGUGGUGUGCAGGCAGUUGGGCUGUGGACAAGCCCUCAGUGCCACGAGGUCAGCUCACUUUGGGGCGGGAUCAGGGCCCAUCUGGCUGGACGACCUGAACUGCACAGGAAAUGAGUCCCACGUGUGGAGAUGCCCUUCCCGGGGCUGGGGGCGGCACGACUGCAGACACAAGGAGGACGCGGGGGUCAUCUGCUCAGAGUUCCUGGCCCUCAGGAUGGUGAGUGAGAACCAGGAGUGUGCUGGGUGGCUGGAAGUUUUCUACAACGGGACCUGGGGUAGUGUCUGCAGCAGCUCCAUGGAUGAUGUCACCGUGUCCAUCAUCUGCAGUCAGCUUGGCUGUGGGGACAGCGGAAGUCUCAACACCUCUGUUGGUCUCAGGGAAGGUUCUAGACCCCAUUGGGUAGAUGGAAUCCAGUGCCAGAGAACUGACCACUCUCUGUGGCAGUGUCCUUCUGACCCUUGGAAUUACAACUCAUGCUCUCCCAAGGAGGAAGCCUAUAUCUCGUGUGCAGGGAGAAGACCCAAGAGCUGUCCAGCUGCUGCCCCCUGCACAGACAGAGAGAAGCUCCGGCUCAGGGGAGGAGACAGCGAGUGCUCAGGGCGGGUGGAGGUGUGGCACAGCGGCUCCUGGGGCACUGUGUGCGAUGACUCCUGGAGCCUGGCAGAGGCCGAGGUGGUGUGUCAGCAGCUGGGCUGUGGCCAGGCCUUGGAAGCUGUGCGGACUGCGGCAUUCGGCCCUGGAAACGGGAGCAUCUGGCUGGACGAGGUGCGGUGCCGGGGCCGGGAGUCCUCCUUGUGGGACUGUGCUGCAGAGCCCUGGGGGCAGAGCGACUGCAAGCACGAGGAGGAUGCUGGUGUGAGGUGCUCUGGUGCAAGGACAUCUUUGCCCCCAACUACAACAGGGACCAGACCAGCUUUGAAUCCUCUGCCUGGCAUCUUCUCCCUGCCUUGGGUCCUCUGCCUCAUCCUGGGAGCCCUACUCUUCCUGGUCCUCAUCAUCCUGGUGACUCAGUUGCUCAGAUGGAGAGCAGAGCGCAGAGCCUUUUCCAGCUAUGAAGAUGCUCUUGCUGAAGCUGAGUAUGAAGAGCUCGAUUACCUUGUGACACAGAAGGAGGGUCUUCUGGACGUUGCAGGCUUCCUGUCAGAUGGUGAGGACGACGAGGACUCCAGAUCCACUCCAGAACAUCAGAGGACUGAUGCCCCUGGUGAGGGUUAUGAUGAUGCUGAAGAGGUACCAGUGCCUGGGGCUCCUCCUGCCUCUCAGGUGAGAGAAGAGGAAGUGCCCCCAGAGAAGGAAGAUGGGAUGAGGUCUCAGACAGGCUCUUCUCUAUUCGUCUUUGGAGAGGAAGCUGAUCCUGGGGAAGGAGAAGAGAGCCCAUGGCUGCUCCAGGGGGACAAAGGUGACCCUGGGUAUGAUGACAUUGAUGUGCCCCAGGAACAGUGACUUUCCCAUGAUGUUGUAUUAAAUAUGAGAUGAAGCCUCAGAUAUUCUAAUUGCCUGUAUUUCAAUACAGUAAUGCUGACCUGUAAUUGUGUUAUAUGGACAUUGUUCAAAAUGAAACAUUCUGAAUAAAGUAACUUUUUGCUGUGUUGCUAAUUUAGCA